UGUUUAUCAUCUUCCUCCUCUUCUUCCUUUUUUUCCGUCUCUUUGUCUUGUUGUCUUCCAUAUGAAGAUGCUUGCUCCCUCCUUUCCAAAUUGUGGUUUUCUUCUUCUUCUUCUUUGAGUAAUAAAUAUUCUUCAUGUGGAUUCUUGUCUCGUUCUCAUAAUCAGCUUUCAAAGGUGUGCUACCCGGAUGGUUGAGUUUUGCAUGGACUAUGAUGAGAUAUGAACCAUGCAUUCUAGCUCUAAAGACCUUUUUGAAGCAGACAAGGAGAAAAUGGGUUGCUCACAAGCUGCUUCCUCUUGGGAUUCUCUGCUGGAUGCAAGUUUCAAGCUUAGAUUUGAUUCCCUUAUCUCUCCUUUUGCUGGUGACUGUCUCACUUUUUGAUGAUUUUAGUAGCUUAGACUAGUUAGUUUUCUUGCAGCUUUGUUUACUCUUAAAUAUAUCCCAUCCAAUAUGUAAAUAGUGUAGCUAUGGGACUCUAUAGCUUUAUUUUUAUAUCUAAGCUUACUAUUCAUUGUUGAUGUAGUUUAUUUUCCUAGUCUUGAUUCUAAUGGAAGGAAUCUGUUGUUUGUC